rnacentral:rRNA from 1 species
UACGUAGGGUCCGAGCGUUGUCCGGAAUCACUGGGCGAAAGCGCACGUAGGCGGAUUGCUAAGUCAGGGGUGAAAUCCUGGAGCUCAACUCCAGAACUGCCUUUGAUACUGAGGAUCUUGAGUUCGGGAGAGGUGAGUGGAACUGCGAGUGUAGAGGUGAAAUUCGUAGAUAUUCGCAAGAACACCAGUGGCGAAGGCGGCUCACUGGCCCGAUACUGACGCUGAGGCACGAAAGCGUGGGGAGCAAACAGGG